rnacentral:rRNA from 1 species
GUUGAACGCUGGCGGCAGGCCUAACACAUGCAAGUCGAGCGGAUGAAGGGAGCUUGCUCCUGGAUUCAGCGGCGGACGGGUGAGUAAUGCCUAGGAAUCUGCCUGGUAGUGGGGGAUAACGUCCGGAAACGGGCGCUAAUACCGCAUACGUCCUGAGGGAGAAAGUGGGGGAUCUUCGGACCUCAUGCUAUCAGAUGAGCCUAGGUCGGAUUAGCUAGUUGGUGGGGUAAAGGCCUACCAAGGCGACGAUCCGUAACUGGUCUGAGAGGAUGAUCAGUCACACUGGAACUGAGACACGGUCCAGACUCCUACGGGAGGCAGCAGUGGGGAAUAUUGGACAAUGGGCGAAAGCCUGAUCCAGCCAUGCCGCGUGUGUGAAGAAGGUCUUCGGAUUGUAAAGCACUUUAAGUUGGGAGGAAGGGCAGUAAGUUAAUACCUUGCUGUUUUGACGUUACCAACAGAAUAAGCACCGGCUAACUUCGUG